AGGGGAGAAAAAAAGGGUGAACAUUGGUUCGGAGUUAAUAACAAAUCCUUCCUUGAUUUACCUGGAUUGAGGAGGCAUUGGAAGAUAAACUAACUGAAUGACCCCCCUGAACUCUAGUCAUAUUCACUGGCACACCAAGAGUUCUUUCCAGGACCAUUUGUACCACACAAUCAACAAAACACUGUGGGUCUAGAAGAUAUGCAAACUGCAUUAAGC